AUGCAUAGUAUCAGCAGCAGUCAGUUUUGAAGCGCUUACAUGUACUGAUCGUGAGGCAGAUUCAAACCUUGUAAUCUGCUAAUAAUAAUAAUUAAUAACGAAGACAGUAUAUAAAGCAGCUACAUGCAUUACCAUAACAUUAAAGAUAUCUGACUCAAAAGUUCUACACUCAAGCCGCCUCAAGCCUCAAUCAACUACGUACGCAGCCAUGAAGACAAGUGCAAUUGCAGUGAUAGCAGUGCUCCUACUCUCUGCCCUCAUCAUUGAGUCUGAAGCUAGUUGCAACUCCGACUGCAGCAAAUUCUGUACAGACACAUUAGAUGUAAACUGUGCUUAUGGGAUAUGUAUUCAGUCACCAUUUCCCGGAUGCAAAUGCUUGAACUGUAUUGGUCCCAACGGUUCAAAGGGUUCACAGGGUUUACCUGGUCCAGGCGGCCGUUGAGAGAAUUGCAAUAUAGGAAAGCAACUGACGUGAACUUUAUAGCUCAGUCCGUAGCUGCAUAUGCACCGUAUAGUGUUUUUGCAGAUUAGCAGUUCUUCAUGAAAUACAAAAAAUCUUUCAUAUUCAGUGUUAACCCACGGAAACC